UUACAAUCUGGGAGCUGAGAGAGCUCAGUGAAGGUUUCACAAAGAAGGUAUUGGGGACCCUUUUUGGCAUGAGAGUUGCAGUGGCACUGAGAUGACAGGAAUAAGUGAGCAAAGCCUGUUUGAGGUCUAGGAAGAAGAGGUGUGGUAACGGUACCUUAAGAACUGGAGAAACUUCUGGACCUUCACUGCCAAUGCACAACCAUCACCGCCACCAAGCUUCAGCAAUCUCUCCCUUGGACAGCUACCUGCUGUGAAAAUACUUGCUUAAUGUAGUUCCUCUUGAAAAUGUUGUUCCUGCAUUAUGACUUUCAUUACACAUUUCCCAAUGA
rnacentral:lncRNA from 1 species